GGGUGGUAAUGCCGGAUGCUCCAGUUGGAUGCAUGUCCUUCUGGGAAAGAUUCAUCGGUAUGGGAUGGGGUCGCGUCCUAUCAGCUUGAUGGCGGGGUAACGGCCCACCAUGGCUUCGACGGGUAGCCGGCCUGAGAGGGCGACCGGCCACAUUGGGACUGAGAUACGGCCCAGACUCCUACGGGAGGCAGCAGUGGGGAAUAUUGCACAAUGGGCGCAAGCCUGAUGCAGCGACGCCGCGUGCGGGAUGACGGCCUUCGGGUUGUAAACCGCUUUUGACUGGGAGCAAGCCCUUCGGGGUGAGUGUACCUUUCGAAUAAGCACCGGCUAACUACGUGCCAGCAGCCGCGGUAAUACGUAGGGUGCAAGCGUUAUCCGGAAUUAUUGGGCGUAAAGGGCUCGUAGGCGGUUCGUCGCGUCCGGUGUGAAAGUCCAUCGCUUAACGGUGGAUCCGCGCCGGGUACGGGCGGGCUUGAGUGCGGUAGGGGAGACUGGAAUUCCCGGUGUAACGGUGGAAUGUGUAGAUAUCGGAAAAGAACACC
rnacentral:rRNA from 1 species